GUCAAAGCGUUCAUUAAAGUCGAGUUGGCUUAGGGAUACGUUCGUUGGGUAGGGGAGCGUUCUGUAAGCCUGUGAAGGUGUGUCGUGAGGCAUGCUGGAGGUAUCAGAAGUGCGAAUGCUGACAUAAGUAACGAUAAAGCGGGUGAAAAGCCCGCUCGCCGGAAGACCAAGGGUUCCUGUCCAACGUUAAUCGGGGCAGGGUGAGUCGACCCCUAAGGCGAGGCCGAAAGGCGUAGUCGAUGGGAAACGGGUUAAUAUUCCCGUACUUGGUGUUACUGCGAAGGGGGGACGGAGAAGGCUAUGUUGGCCGGGCGACGGUUGUCCCGGUUUAAGCGUGUAGGUGUGUGUUCCAGGUAAAUCCGGUUCACUUUAACACUGAGGCGUGACGACGAGGCACUACGGUGCUGAAGCAACAAAUGCCCUGCUUCCAGGAAAAGCCUCUAAGCAUCAGGUAACACGAAAUCGUACCCCAAACCGACACAGGUGGUCAGGUAGAGAAUACCAAGGCGCUUGAGAGAACUCGGGUGAAGGAACUAGGCAAAAUGGUGCCGUAACUUCGGGAGAAGGCACGCUGACACGUAGGUGAAGUGAUUUACUCAUGGAGCUGAAGUCAGUCGAAGAUACCAGCUGGCUGCAACUGUUUAUUAAAAACACAGCACUGUGCAAACACGAAAGUGGACGUAUACGGUGUGACGCCUGCCCGGUGCCGGAAGGUUAAUUGAUGGGGUCAGCGUAAGCGAA
rnacentral:rRNA from 1 species